UCCUCAGAGUUUAAGUUCUUCUGUCACAGAGCGUCUGAUCUGUCUUCAUGAGCUCUGACUGAAAACUAAAUCAGGAUGGUGUUGACAGUAACUCUGCUGCUCAUGUUGGGUUUUCUGAGUCAGGAGGCUUUUGCAAACAAGUUUCUGACUCAGACUGACAAAUCCAAGUCUGUGAGUCUUGGUGGGACUGUGACUAUCAGCGCCACAGGGAGUUCAGAUAUUGGUGCUGAUCUCAGUUGGUACCAUCAGAAACCUGGACAGGCUCCCAAACUGCUUAUAAAGGAUGCAUCAACACGCUUCUCAGGGACCCCGUCUCGAUUCAGUGGCAGUAGAUCUGGCUCUGACUACACUCUAACUAUUCAAGGUUUUCAGGCUGAGGAUGUCGGAGAUUAUUACUGUCUGGGUGCCCAUACUGGUGGAGUGUUCACACAGUGA